rnacentral:rRNA from 1 species
AACGCGAAGAACCUUACCCACCUUUGACAUGUACGGAAUUUGCCAGAGAUGGCUUAGUGCUCGAAAGAGAACCGUAACACAGGUGCUGCAUGGCUGUCGUCAGCUCGUGUCGUGAGAUGUUGGGUUAAGUCCCGCAACGAGCGCAACCCUUGUCAUUAGUUGCUACAUUCAGUUGGGCACUCUAGUGAGACUGCCGGUGACAAACCGGAGGAAGGUGGGGAUGACGUCAAGUCCUCAUGGCCCUUAUAGGUGGGGCUACACACGUCAUACAAUGGCUGGUACAAAGGGUUGCCAACCCGCGAGGGGGAGCUAAUCCCAUAAAACCAGUCGUAGUCCGGAUCGCAGUCUGCAACUCGACUGCGUGAAGUCGGAAUCGCUAGUAAUCGUGGAUCAGAAUGUCACGGUGAAUACGUUCCCGGGCCUUGUACACACCG